UACGGAGGGUGCAAGCGUUAUCCGGAUUCACUGGGUUUAAAGGGUGCGUAGGUGGGCAGGUAAGUCAGUGGUGAAAUCUCUGGGCUUAACCCCAGAAACUGCCGUUGAUACUAUCUGUCUUGAAUAUAGUGGAGGUGAGCGGAAUAUGUCAUGUAGCGGUGAAAUGCUUAGAUAUGACAUAGAACACCAAUUGCGAAGGCAGCUCGCUACACGAAUAUUGACUCUGAGGCACGAAAGCGUGGGGGAUCAAACAGG
rnacentral:rRNA from 1 species